UAAAAUGACAGCAAUUUCUCCCAACAAAAAUUCCCCUAGACAAAUGUCAUACAUGCAAUAAACAGAAUCUGUGUUUCUUAAUUUGUUGUCACUCUAAAAUAUCACACAACCAUAAAGUCCCAAAUUUUAUUUCACUAUAAAUAUCAUGAAUUUGCUCCAUUCUUUCCACUCAAAAAAUAAAAAAAAUUAAGUUCCUUUUAUUUUGUCAUCAAUGGCUUCCCUUAGUAUUUUCUUUAUUUGUAUUUUCCUAAUUUUGAUUAUUUGUUUGAAGAUGAUGGUAGCUCAAGAUUUGGAAAUGGACAAUAUUGCACCUUCACCGGCGAUGGCUACCGGCGACGGUUUUGCUCCGGCGACCUCUGUUGGAUUGUUCUUGAUUUUUUAUGUAAUUAAUCUCUUUAUUAAUAUGGAUUAAGGUUUUGAUGAUGGUGCAUAUACAUCACCUAAUAUGAUUUUGCGAUCUAUGGGCUAGCUAUUUCCUAUUUGUACUUUAUUUUUUCCUACCACUUGUUACUUAUGGAGUAGUAUUAUGCAUUUGUAUGUUGCAAUUUUAAUUUUAUCCAGUGUGGUUAUAGUUAUUGUUUCAUGCUGUUUUUUUUCAGGACCUCUCUUUUUCUUAGGUCAAUAAGACGAAGUAAUAAUUCUCUCUUAAUUAAGUCACUAGAUUUGGUUGUUUUUCAACUUUCUUGGUCUAAAUGACUUAAGUAGGGGUUUGGCCAUGAAAGUUUUCUCACUUUUUUUUAAAUAUUAUUUCACUUAGUAAAAAAAUAAUAAUAAUAAAAAUAAUAGUGUUUGUUCAUAAAAAUUAUUUCACUUCAGUGAUUUUUUUUUUUUGAAAAAGUAAAAACACGAAAAUUUUUAUUUCUCUCACAAAAUUUUAAAAAAAAAUAUAUAUAUAUUCAUGGUAAACACAAAAUCAACUUCAAUUUUAAAAAAUUACAUUAUUUUCAUGAUCAAACAGGUCUGAUUGUUGUCGUCGUCCUAAGGGAAAUAUAGGUGUAAUAUGAUUGUUGUUAAAAUAGAGAGUUGUACUAAAAUGUCUCAAAAUACUUGUCCCAUUUUUCUGUUUUGAGGUAAAUUACGUAAAUUUUGAGAAGUAUAGGUGAAGGAUCUUAUAACUUACGAAAACUGCUGAAAAAUAUAUGUACACUAGAUACUGUAGCUCGUGUCAGUCUAAGAUAUGUUAUUUAUGUUUUCUCAAUUUAUGUAUCACAAAUGGCAUUUGGAGUGUCAAUCAAAUUUUUUAUUAAUAUAAAUU
rnacentral:lncRNA from 1 species